rnacentral:sRNA from 1 species
GCCCGGUAGCCCCUGUUACUGGGGAGGCUGAGGCCGGUGGAUCACCAGCGUUUGAGAGGUCUGAGUUGCAAUAAAGCUAAAGCUGACUAAGUGUCCAUAGUAAGUCCAGCACCAGUAUGGGGAGUCCCCCAGGAUUAUAGGAGCCACCAGGCUACCUAAGGAGGGGUGAGGUAGCUCAGGUUGAUGAUGAACAGGCCAAAGCUCCUAUGCUGAUCAGUAUUGGGAUUGAGCUUGGGAGUGGCCAUAUGAGAUAGAGAGACCCAGUCCA